rnacentral:rRNA from 1 species
AUUGAACGCUGGCGGCAGGCCUAACACAUGCAAGUCGAACGGUAACAGGAAGAAGCUUGCUUCUUUGCUGUAGCGUGGCGGACGGGUGUGUAAUGUCUGGGAAACUGCUUGAUGGAGGGGGAUAACUACUGGAAACGGUAGCUAAUACCGCAUAACGUCGCAAGACCAAAGAGGGGGACUUUAGGGCCUCUUGCCAUCGGAUGAGACCUGAUGGGAUUAGCUAGUAGGUGGGGUAACGGCUCACCUAGGCGACGAUCCCUAGCUGGUCUGAGAGGAUGACCAGCCACACUGGAACUGAGACACGGUCCAGACUCCUACGGGAGGCAGCAGUGGGGAAUAUUGCACAAUGGGCGCAAGCCUGAUGCAGCCAUGCCGCGUGUAUGAAGAAGGCCUUCGGAUUGUAAAGUACUUUCAGCGGGGAGGAAGAGAGUAAAGUUAAUACCUUUGCUCAUUGACGUUACCCGCAGAAGAAGCACCGGCUAACUCCGUG